CUGAAGACAUCAUUCUGUAAUACUCGUGCAGUAAGAGUCGUUCAAGAAAAUUCAUCAUAAAACAUUUAUACAUAUAACACCGACUUAUUAUAAAGAGUACUAACAAGGUAUUCGUGCGUAUCUAACCUUAACGCGUAAGCAGGAAAAAUCCUGACGAUUAUAUGAAGGGAGAGAGAGAGAGAGAGAGACAGAGAGAAAGGGAGAGUGUGAGAACGUGUUGGUAGAAUACAUCGGAGUGACGUACGAAACAUAAGGGCAAGGGAGACGGGGAGAGUCUUCAGAGCGCGAACACGUCGAGGGAACUCGCAGAACGGUCGUGCUCGUGACUUCACUCGAACCCGCCAUUUUUCAUCACACGGCGUAGCUGCAUCAUCAUUUUCUGAUACGAAGCGUAUACCGACCUAUCGCACCGACCGGCACCUCCUCCGGCGACUGAUCCGCGGAAACGCAGUCAUUCUCCUCUCAAAUCUAUCGCGACGAUAACGAGAAAGCACACUCAAGCUCUGAUAUUGUAAACGAUAUAUCAAGAUUGAGAUUUACAUUUCGUUCAAUUAAUAACUCAU